rnacentral:rRNA from 1 species
ACACUCCUACGGGAGGCAGCAGUGGGGAAUAUUGGACAAUGGGGGCAACCCUGAUCCAGCCAUGCCGCGUGAGUGAUGAAGGCCCUAGGGUUGUAAAGCUCUUUUGUGCGGGAAGAUAAUGACGGUACCGCAAGAAUAAGCCCCGGCUAACUUCGUGCCAGCAGCCGCGGUAAUACGAAGGGGGCUAGCGUUGCUCGGAAUCACUGGGCGUAAAGGGUGCGUAGGCGGGUCUUUAAGUCAGGGGUGAAAUCCUGGAGCUCAACUCCAGAACUGCCUUUGAUACUGAGGAUCUUGAGUCCGGAAGAGGUGAGUGGAACUGCGAGUGUAGAGGUGAAAUUCGUAGAUAUUCGCAAGAACACCAGUGGCGAAGGCGGCUCACUGGUCCGGUACUGACGCUGAGGCACGAAAGCGUGGGGAGCAAACAGGAUUAGAUACCCUAGUAGUCCCAUGAU